UCUUCGAUAGCUCAGUUGGUAGAGCGGAGGACUGUAGAUCCUUAGGUCGCUGGUUCAACUCCGGCUCGAAGGA
rnacentral:tRNA from 1 species